UACGUAGGGGGCUAGCGUUGCUCGGAAUCACUGGGCGUAAAGCGCACGUAGGCGGCUUGUUAAGUCAGGGGUGAAAUCCUGGAGCUCAACUCCAGAACUGCCUUUGAUACUGGCAAGCUUGGAGUCCGGGAGAGGUGAGUGGAACUGCGAGUGUAGAGGUGAAAUUCGUAGAUAUUCGCAAGAACACCAGUGGCGAAGGCGGCUCACUGGCCCGGUACUGACGCUGAGGUGCGAAAGCGUGGGGAGCAAACAGG
rnacentral:rRNA from 1 species